rnacentral:rRNA from 1 species
UCAAGCUACAAAGGGCAGACGGUGGAUGCCUUGGCGGUAGGAGGCGAUGAAGGACGUGGUUAGCUGCGAAAAGCGUCGGGAAGCUGCUAAGCGAGCUUUGAUCCGACGAUGUCCGAAUGGGGAAACCCGGCCAGGGUCAUGCCUGGUCAUCCUUUACUGAAUACAUAGGUAAAGGAGGCAAACUCAGGGAACUGAAACAUCUCAGUACCUGGAGGAAUGGAAAUCAAUUGAGACUCCCGGAGUAGCGGCGAGCGAAAUGGGAAUAGGCCAAACCGGCGGGAAGAAAUUCCUUCCGGGGUUGUGGGACUCCAAUGUGGGACCCCGAUGGGUAGUGGAAUGGUCUGGAAAGGCCGGCCGAAGAGGGUGAAAGCCCCGUACACGAAACCUUGAAGGGCUCUAGGAGUAUCCCGAGUACCACGGGACACGAGAAAUCUUGUGGGAAUCUGGGUGGACCAUCAUCCAAGCCUAAGUACUACCUACCGACCGAUAGUGAACCAGUACCGUGAGGGAAAGGUGAAAAGCACCCCGGUGAGGGGAGUGAAAUAGACCUGAAACCGUUUGCCUACAUGCAGUGGGAGCACUAUGGCGCUUGCGUCAAGUGUGACUGCGUACCUUUUGUUUAAUGGGUCCGCGAGUUAUUCCUCAGCAGCAAGGUUAAGUCGUCAGAUGAAGCCGAAGCGAAAGCGAGUGUGAAUAGCGCGUCUAGUUGCUGGGGAUAGACCCGAAACCAAGUGAUCUAUCCAUGGCCAGGUUGAAGCUCAGGUAAGACUGAGUGGAGGACCGAACCGUAGUAGGUUGAAAACUACCCGGAUGAGCUGUGGAUAGGGGUGAAAGGCCAAUCAAACUUGGAGAUAGCUGGUUCUCUCCGAAAUAUAUUUAGGUAUAGCCUCGCGUGAAUACCGCCGGAGGUAGAGCACUGAAUGGGCUAGGGGUCCUACCAGAUUACCGAACCCAAUCAAACUCCGAAUACCGGUGAGUACUGCGCGGGAGUCAGACUGCGGGUGAUAAGAUCCGUGGUCGAGAGGGAAACAACCCAGACCGCCGGCUAAGGUCCCUAAAUCAACGCUGAGUGGGAAAGGAAGUGGAAGCGCUCAGACAACCAGGAUGUUGGCUUAGAAGCAGCCAUCAUUUAAAAAGUGCGUAACAGCUUACUGGUCUAGUGAAUCCGCGCCGAAAAUGUAACGGGGCUAAGCGUUGUACCGAAGCCGCGGAGCCAUGCUUUGCAUGGUUGGUAGGAGAGCGUUCCAUACACGUCGAAGGCAUAUCGUGAGAAGUGCUGGAGCGUAUGGAAGUGAUGAUGCGGACAUGAGUAGCGAUAAACAGGGUGAGAAACCCUGUCGCCGUAAACCUAAGGGUUCCUGAGUCAAGCUAAUCUGCUCAGGGUUAGUCGGCCCCUAAGCCGAGGGCGAAAGCCGUAGGCGAUGGGAAUCAGUUUAAUAUUACUGAACCACUAGAUAGCCGUUCGACCGAAGGGGGGACGGAGAAGGAUAGCUGAGCCCGUUAUUGGAUUCGGGUGAACGUCAAUAGGCGGGAGGUGUAGGCAAAUCCGCACUUCCAUCAACGCUGAGGGGCGGGACGGUGGCCUUUAAGGCCCGCAAGUCAGUGAUUCCAUGCUUCCAAGAAAAGCCUCGUAGGGAGGUUAUCUGGUGACCGUACCGCAAACCAACACAGGUAGGUGGGUAGAGCAUACCAAGGCGCUUGAGAAAACUCUGGCUAAGGAACUCGGCAAAUUGACACCGUAACUUCGGGAGAAGGUGUGCCCUAGCUGGUGAAGGACUUCGCGUCUGGAGCUGGAGAGGGUUGCAGAGACCAGGGGGUAGCGACUGUUUACUAAAAACACAGGACUCUGCGAAGUCGCAAGACGACGUAUAGGGUCUGACGCCUGCCCGGUGCCGGAAGGUUAAGGGAACCUGUUAGUCUUCGGACGAAGCAGUGAACCGAAGCCCCGGUAAACGGCGGCCGUAACUAUAACGGUCCUAAGGUAGCGAAAUUCCUUGUCGGGUAAGUUC